CAGCAAAGAACUAUAAAACAUAUUGUGACAAUUAAAAGUUUUCAACCUGUUAAGUUUUUUAAUAUUUUGUAAAAUUGAUUCGUUCAAUUGCUGAAGUUUUCUUCACAGUUCCUCACCCUAAAAUAUCGAGAGAAAAGGUACCCCAUAUUCGCCACGCGGCCCACGUGAUUUUUGUGUUACCUCUGCCAGAGGAUAACCAUUCUCUAUAUCACGGGAAACAAUACCGCUAUCCAUUAUUUUAAAGGUUAUAAAACCUUUUUAUACCGUGUUGGGGGCUCUGAGGAGCCACCACUUAAACGCUAUUCUACAAAUCCAGGACAAGUUCGAUUUCCAAAUACAGAAUUCAAUAGCAGUCUGUUUGGCUACCUGACGUUAUAUCUAAAACUGCCAAGACAAACAGCUUGAAAAUUGUGGUUUUGUAAAUCUUCCCGAAAUUUGGUACAAAAACUUCCAAUUACGUCAAGUCGGGUCAGUGGAUAUUGUAUUUCCACAAUUUCAUAUUGGAGUCUGCUUAUUCAGUCAAUUACGUCUUAAGAAGCUGAAAAUUUUAUAAUUUAUUUUCUACCGUUGCCAUAAAAUUCUGAAAGUUUCAACGCAACUUUAAACCCAGCCUGAAUUAAAUACGCCUGUCAGUUCUGUUUCAUCAUCAAUUCCUACAAUAACCUAAUAUUUAUAAAAUAAUACCUACUAUUAAGUUAAAAAAAAAAUACGUAUGGAGUUACCCAUAUAUCAUUAAUUACAUGGAGAUGAUAAUCACGUUGUUAGAUUGAACUUCGGUAUGUAAGCAACGCAAAAGUAAAAAUUGAUCUUCAUCGCAGCAUAGCAACAACAAAGAACUACCAACUACCAUAAUGGAAGAGGCCUCUACCAGCGGUGUUUUUGUUUGGUGAGUAAAUUAAUCAAAACAA